GGUUAAGCGACUAAGCGUACACGGUGGAUGCCCUGGCAGUCAGAGGCGAUGAAGGACGUGCUAAUCUGCGAUAAGCGUCGGUAAGGUGAUAUGAACCGUUAUAACCGGCGAUUUCCGAAUGGGGAAACCCAGUGUGUUUCGACACACUAUCAUUAACUGAAUCCAUAGGUUAAUGAGGCGAACCGGGGGAACUGAAACAUCUAAGUACCCCGAGGAAAAGAAAUCAACCGAGAUUCCCCCAGUAGCGGCGAGCGAACGGGGAGCAGCCCAGAGCCUGAAUCAGUGUGUGUGUUAGUGGAAGCGUCUGGAAAGGCGCGCGAUACAGGGUGACAGCCCCGUACACAAAAAUGCACAUGCUGUGAGCUCGAUGAGUAGGGCGGGACACGUGGUAUCCUGUCUGAAUAUGGGGGGGGACCAUCCUCCAAGGCUAAAUACUCCUGACUGACCGAUAGUGAACCAGUACCGUGAGGGAAAGGCGAAAAGAACCCCGGCGAGGGGAGUGAAAAAGAACCUGAAACCGUGUACGUACAAGCAGUGGGAGCACGCUUAGGCGUGUGACUGCGUACCUUUGUAUAAUGGGUCAGCGACUUAUAUUCUGUAGCAAUGUUAACCUAAUAUGGAGCCGAAGGGAAACCGAGUCUUAACUGGGCGUUAAGUUGCAGGGUAUAGACCCGAAACCCGGUGAUCUAGCCAUGGGCAGGUUGAAGGUUGGGUAACACUAACUGGAGGACCGAACCGACUAAUGUUGAAAAAUUAGCGGAUGACUUGUGGCUGGGGGUGAAAGGCCAAUCAAACCGGGAGAUAGCUGGUUCUCCCCGAAAGCUAUUUAGGUAGCGCCUCGUGAAUUCAUCUCCGGGGGUAGAGCACUGUUUCGGCAAGGGGGUCAUCCCGACUUACCAACCCGAUGCAAACUGCGAAUACCGGAGAAUGUUAUCACGGGAGACACACGGCGGGUGCUAACGUCCGUCGUGAAGAGGGAAACAACCCAGACCGCCAGCUAAGGUCCCAAAGUCAUGGUUAAGUGGGAAACGAUGUGGGAAGGCCCAGACAGCCAGGAUGUUGGCUUAGAAGCAGCCAUCAUUUAAAGAAAGCGUAAUAGCUCACUGGUCGAGUCGGCCUGCGCGGAAGAUGUAACGGGGCUAAACCAUGCACCGAAGCUGCGGCAGCGACGCUGAUGCGUUGUUGGGUAGGGGAGCGUUCUGUAAGCCUGCGAAGGUGUGCUGUGAGGCAUGCUGGAGGUAUCAGAAGUGCGAAUGCUGACAUAAGUAACGAUAAAGCGGGUGAAAAGCCCGCUCGCCGGAAGACCAAGGGUUCCUGUCCAACGUUAAUCGGGGCAGGGUGAGUCGACCCUAAGGCGAGGCCGAAAGGCGUAGUCGAUGGGAAACAGGUUAAUAUUCCUGUACUUGGUGUUACUGCGAAGGGGGGACGGAGAAGGCUAUGUUGGCCGGGCGACGGUUGUCCCGGUUUAAGCGUGUAGGCUGGUUUUCCAGGCAAAUCCGGAAAAUCAAGGCUGAGGCGUGAUGACGAGGCACUACGGUGCUGAAGCAACAAAUGCCCUGCUUCCAGGAAAAGCCUCUAAGCAUCAGGUAACAUCAAAUCGUACCCCAAACCGACACAGGUGGUCAGGUAGAGAAUACCAAGGCGCUUGAGAGAACUCGGGUGAAGGAACUAGGCAAAAUGGUGCCGUAACUUCGGGAGAAGGCACGCUGAUAUGUAGGUGAGGUCCCUCGCGGAUGGAGCUGAAAUCAGUCGAAGAUACCAGCUGGCUGCAACUGUUUAUUAAAAACACAGCACUGUGCAAACACGAAAGUGGACGUAUACGGUGUGACGCCUGCCCGGUGCCGGAAGGUUAAUUGAUGGGGUUAGCCGCAAGGCGAAGCUCUUGAUCGAAGCCCCGGUAAACGGCGGCCGUAACUAUAACGGUCCUAAGGUAGCGAAAUUCCUUGUCGGGUAAGUUCCGACCUGCACGAAUGGCGUAAUGAUGGCCAGGCUGUCUCCACCCGAGACUCAGUGAAAUUGAACUCGCUGUGAAGAUGCAGUGUACCCGCGGCAAGACGGAAAGACCCCGUGAACCUUUACUAUAGCUUGACACUGAACAUUGAGCCUUGAUGUGUAGGAUAGGUGGGAGGCUUGGAAGUGUGGACGCCAGUCUGCAUGGAGCCGACCUUGAAAUACCACCCUUUAAUGUUUGAUGUUCUAACGUUGACCCGUAAUCCGGGUUGCGGACAGUGUCUGGUGGGUAGUUUGACUGGGGCGGUCUCCUCCUAAAGAGUAACGGAGGAGCACGAAGGUUGGCUAAUCUGGUCGGACAUCAGGAGGUUAGUGCAAUGGCAUAAGCCAGCUUGACUGCGAGCGUGACGGCGCGAGCAGGUGCGAAAGCAGGUCAUAGUGAUCCGGUGGUUCUGAAUGGAAGGGCCAUCGCUCAACGGAUAAAAGGUACUCCGGGGAUAACAGGCUGAUACCGCCCAAGAGUUCAUAUCGACGGCGGUGUUUGGCACCUCGAUGUCGGCUCAUCACAUCCUGGGGCUGAAGUAGGUCCCAAGGGUAUGGCUGUUCGCCAUUUAAAGUGGUACGCGAGCUGGGUUUAGAACGUCGUGAGACAGUUCGGUCCCUAUCUGCCGUGGGCGCUGGAGAACUGAGGGGGGCUGCUCCUAGUACGAGAGGACCGGAGUGGACGCAUCACUGGUGUUCGGGUUGUCAUGCCAAUGGCACUGCCCGGUAGCUAAAUGCGGAAGAGAUAAGUGCUGAAAGCAUCUAAGCACGAAACUUGCCCCGAGAUGAGUUCUCCCUGACCCUUUAAGGGUCCUGAAGGAACGUUGAAGACGACGACGUUGAUAGGCCGGGUGUGUAAGCGCAGCGAUGCGUUGAGCUAACCGGUACUAAUGAACCGUGAGGCUUAACCUU
rnacentral:rRNA from 1 species